GGCCUUUAAAACUGAAAAAGAAAAAUAAAACAAAAAGGAAACCUAAACCCUAUCCAGUCAAAGAAAUGAACUGUCACCCACUCCACUGUCCAGAAAAUUCUUUUUCCUUGUUGGUUACAGUUCCCCGGAGCACUACUCCAUGCUGCCCAGAUGUCCCCCACUAGCAUCCGCUCCGGUGAUUCGAAGGUCCCCAAAGCCUCGCAGUCAGGCUCUCGUUCUCUUUGCCUUCCAGAACCCAACCAUUCAACGGCAUAAGAAGGGACGGUAGAGGUAUGUGAAUGACACGCCAAAAUACACUUAGAAAGCUCCGUGGCUUCCCAGAUAAAGGUACUAAUCCUCGAUAGAUCCUCCGAGUUAGUGUUUAGCUUACGGAUGACUGCCCAAGCAUCCCAUUUCAGAAGCGAAAUGCAACCACUGAACAACAGCCAUUGCCUCCGCUGCAAACACUGAAGGAACGUGAGUGGUAAGCCGACUACAAGCGCCCAUUAUCUGACCAUGCUCGUCCCAGAUAAUAACACCCGAACAGGCUUUUUGUAGGGAGAAGGAAAAGCUAGCAUCAACGUUCACCUUAAGGAAAAUGGGUCGAAGAAGCCUUGGAAAAGAAGAAACCAAGCCACCCUUCAGAAGUUAUUGAAAAAGAUAUUGUUUGAAGUUCAAAUGAUGCAUGAUAAAGGGUUACUUGAAUCUACAGCUAAAAAUGGUGUUAAAAAUGAUGCUCCAAGGCCCAAGGCUGACAAAAUUUGCGGAAACCAUGUGUUAUCAGAGAGGAAAUGAAGGGAAAAACUAAACCAACGAUUCAUGAUUCUCAAAACACUGGUACCUUCAAACAACAAGAUGAUACAAUAAAAUACCUGGAGAGAAGGGUUGAAGAGUUGGUAACUUGCAGUGAAUUAAUGGAGCUUGAGACAAGAACAAAAAGACAACCUCGGGAUGGUGUCGAGCGAACAUCAGACAACUACGGCAGUAACAAAAACAUCACCAGCCGAAAGAAAAAAUACGUGAAUAAAAGGAAACCCUCUGACAUUGGUGAAGCAGAGUUGGAGAUUGAAUGUGUUGCAUCAAAGGAUAAUGUUGUUGUAAUCCAAUUUAGGUGUCCAUGGCGAGAUGGACUUGAUGCAUUAAGCAAUUCUCAAUUUGGAUUGCCAUUCAGUUCAAUCAUCCACCACUCCGGCUUCUCUCACUCAUUAUAAAAUCCAAAUAUUAAGGAUCAAAUGUUGCAUCAGCACGGAGGAUCUAGGAAGCGUUAAAAGGGUUGUUUGAAAGUAAGCAUAUUGUGAUGUCAUUUAAGGUUGUAUGUAAAUAAAGGGGAAGAAACCAAGAUUGCAAUUUUCUUCCAAAAAUCUUAGAGCGACAUAAAGUUUAAAAAAAAAAAAUCCAAAAAUCUGAAGCAUAUUUAAAGACGUUGGAAUGAAUAUCUAAAUCUGUGUUUUCUA